rnacentral:rRNA from 1 species
AAGUCUGGUGCCAGCAGCCGCGGUAAUUCCAGCUCCAAUAGCGUAUAUUAAAGUUGUUGCAGUUAAAAAGCUCGUAGUUGAAUUUCGGGGUUAGUAGGUUGGUCAUGCCUCUGGUAUGUACUGGUCUCACUGAUUCCUCCUUCCUGAUGAACCGUAAUGCCAUUAAUUUGGUGUUGCGGGGAAUUUGGACUGUUACUUUGAAAAAAUUAGAGUGUUUAAAGCAAGCUAACGCUUGAAUACAUUAGCAUGGAAUAAUGAAAUAGGACGUUCGAUCCUAUUUUGUUGGUUUCUAGGAUUGACGUAAUGAUUAAUAGGGAUAGUUGGGGGCAUUAGUAUUCAAUUGUCAGAGGUGAAAUUCUUGGAUUUAUUGAAGACUAACUACUGCGAAAGCAUUUGCCAAGGAUGUUUUCAUUAAUCAAGAACGAAAGUUAGGGGACCGAAGACGAUCAGAUACCGUCGUAGUCUUAACCAUAAACUAUGCCGACUAGGGAUCGGAUGAUGUUAAUUUUUUAAUGACUCAUUCGGCGCCUUACGGGAAACCAAAGUGUUUGGGU